UUGGACUUUGAUUGGAAAUUG
ensembl:piRNA 21ur-12853 ncRNA